UACAGAGGGGGCAAGCGUUAUUCGGAAUUAUUGGGCGUAAAGGGCGCGUAGGCGGCUUUGCAAGUGACGGGUGAAAGCCCUCGGCUUAACCGAGGAACUGCCUGUCAGACUGUAAGGCUUGAGACCGGGAGAGGUGAGUGGAAUUCCCAGUGUAGCGGUGAAAUGCGUAGAUAUCGAGAGGAACACCUGCGGCGAAGGCGGGUUGCUGGGCUGACACUGACGCUGAUGCGCGAAAGCCAGGGGAGCGAACGGG
rnacentral:rRNA from 1 species